ACAAGCUGGCACAAGCUAAGAAAAAUCUUGCUCAAGGUUCUUGGCUGUUCCAGCUAGCAGUGUGUCAUCAGAAUCCACUUUUAGCACUGGGGGUAGGAUCCUUGAUGAUUACAGGAGUUCAUUGAAGCCAGCAACAGUUCAGGCUUUGGUGUGUGCUUCUAGUUGGAUACGCGGGUCUCGAAGUUCACCUAUUCUUGUAACUGGAGAAGGUGAUGAUGGUGACAUCGAGUCCGUGGAAUUUCCAAAGUGUGUAGUUGCAAGUAAUU